UACGAAGGGGGCUAGCGUUGCUCGGAAUCACUGGGCGUAAAGCGCACGUAGGCGGGGUUUUAAGUCAGGGGUGAAAUCCUGGAGCUCAACUCCAGAACUGCCUUUGAUACUGAAGAUCUUGAGUCCGGGAGAGGUGAGUGGAACUGCGAGUGUAGAGGUGAAAUUCGUAGAUAUUCGCAAGAACACCAGUGGCGAAGGCGGCUCACUGGCCCGGUACUGACGCUGAGGCACGAAAGCGUGGGGAGCAAACAGG
rnacentral:rRNA from 1 species